GACGAACGCUGGCGGCGUGCUUAACACAUGCAAGUCGAACGGUAAGGCCCUUCGGGGUACACGAGUGGCGAACGGGUGAGUAACACGUGGGUGAUCUACCCUGCACUUCGGGAUAAGCCUGGGAAACUGGGUCUAAUACCGGAUAGGACCCUGGGAUGCAUGUCCUGGGGUGGAAAGCAUUUGCGGUGUGGGAUGGGCCCGCGGCCUAUCAGCUUGUUGGUGGGGUGAUGGCCUACCAAGGCGACGACGGGUAGCCGGCCUGAGAGGGGUGACCGGCCACACUGGGACUGAGAUACGGCCCAGACUCCUACGGGAGGCAGCAGUGGGGAAUAUUGCACAAUGGGCGCAAGCCUGAUGCAGCGACGCCGCGUGAGGGAUGACGGCCUUCGGGUUGUAAACCUCUUUCAGCACCGACGAAGCGCAAGUGACGGUAGGUGCAGAAGAAGGACCGGCCAACUACGUGCCAGCAGCCGCGGUAA
rnacentral:rRNA from 1 species